GAUGAACGCUGGCGGCGUGCCUAACACAUGCAAGUCGAACGGAAAGGCGAUGCUCUUGCGGGGUGCUCGUGUGGCGAACGGGUGAGUAACACGCGUGUAUACUGCACUUGUAUUUGGGAUAAAAUCAGGGAAAAGGGGCUCAUACCGCAUAGGAGCUUUUGCAGCACGGGGGGCGUAGGAAAGAGUCGGCGGUUGGGGAUGGAGUGGAGGCUUAUCAGCUUGAUAGUGUGGUAGUGAAUUACCCAGCUUUCGAAGGGUAGCCCGCAUGAGAGGGUGACCGGCCACAAUGGGACUGCGGGACGGCCCAGACUGCAACGGGAGGCAGCAGGGGAGAGCAUUGCGCAAUGGGCGGAAGCGUGAUGCGGCAGCCCCGCGUGCGGGAUGACGGCCUUCGGGGUGUGAACCGAUUUCGCCUGAGACGAGGAGUGAGUGACGGUAAUGGGUAAAGAAGCACCGGCUAACUACGUG
rnacentral:rRNA from 1 species